UACAGCCACAUCAUGUUGAAACACUGGUUCCUGUACGAUCACUGAAGUUAAGGUGUGUUGAGCUUGGUCAGUACUUAGAUGGGUGACCGCUUCGGAAUACUAGAUGCUGUAUG